rnacentral:rRNA from 1 species
UACGUAGGGGGCAAGCGUUGUCCGGAUUUAUUGGGCGUAAAGAGCGUGUAGGCGGCCAGACAGGUCUGCUGUGAAAACUCGAGGCUCAACCUCGAGACGCCGGUGGAAACCGUCUGGCUAGAGUCCGGAAGAGGAGAGUGGAAUUCCAGGUGUAGCGGUGAAAUGCGUAGAUAUCUGGAGGAACACCGGUGGCGAAGGCGGCAUUCUGGACCAUAACUGACACUGAGAGACGAAAGCCAGGGGAGCAAACGGG